UGAAUACGAGACGCUAAGGCGUCGAAGUAGUGUAUGUCAUACUUCCAAGAAAAGCUUGCACUGUCAUAGAUAAAAAACGCCUGUACCAUAACCGACACAGGUGGGUAGGUAGAGUAUACUAAGGGGCGCGAGAUAACUCUCUCUAAGGAACUCGGCAAAAUAACUCCGUAACUUCGGGAGAAGGAGUGCCUUAUUCUUAAGGUUGCAAUAACAAGAUCCAAGCAACUGUUUAUCAAAAACACAGGUCUCCGCUAAGUCGUAAGACGAUGUAUGGGGGCUGACGCCUGCCCAGUGCCAGAAGGUUAAAGAAGCUGGUUAGCAUUUGCGAAGCUAGUAACUGAAGCCCUGGUGAACGGCGGCCGUAACAAUAACGGUCCUAAGGUAGCGAAAUUCCUUGUCGGGUAAGUUCCGACCCGCACGAAAGGCGUAAUGAUUUGGAUACUGUCUCGGAGAGGGGCUCGGUGAAAUAGACUUGUCUGUGAAGAUGCGGACUACCUGCACCAGGACAGAAAGACCCUAUGAAGCUUUACUGUAACUUGAAAUUGAAAUUGGACUUUAUUCGCGCAGUAUAGGUGGGAGGCGUUGAUUAUAAUCUUGCGGGAUUAUUGGAGCCAUUAGUGAGAUACCACUCUUGUAAUGUUAGAUUUCUAACUUUGAAUCAUUAUCUGGUCAAAGAACAGUUUCAGGCGGGCAGUUUGACUGGGGCGGUCGCCUCCUAAACGGUAACGGAGGCGUACAAAGGUUUCCUCUGAACGGUUAGAAAUCGUAUCUAGAGUGUAAAGGCAUAAGGAAGCUUGACUGUGAGACCUACAAGUCGAGCAGGGACGAAAGUCGGUCUUAGUGAUCUGACGGUACUGAGUGGAAAGGCCGUCACUCAACGGAUAAAAGUUACUCUAGGAUAACAGGCUGAUCUCCCCCAAGAGUUCACAUCGACGGGGAGGUUUGGCACCUUGAUGUCGGCUCAUCGCAUCCUGGGGCGGUAGUACGUCCCAAGGGUUGGGCUGUUCGCCCAUGAAAGCGGUACGCGAGCUGGGUUCAGAACGUCGUGAGACAGUUCGGUCCAUAUCCGGUGUAGGCGUUAGAAUAUUGAGAGGAGCCUUCUUUAGUACGAGAGGACCGAGAAGGACAUACCUCUGGUGUACCAGUUAUCGUGCCAACGGUAAACGCUGGGUAGCUAUGUAUGGAGUGGAUAACCGCUGAAAGCAUCUAAGUGGGAAGCCCACCUCAAGAUAAGUAUUCUCA
rnacentral:rRNA from 1 species